CAACAGCAGAGACGAGUCAUGUAUCGAAAUUUACAAACGAUAAAGUAAAGCCGUCAAUGAAAGGCUAAAAGAUAUAAAUGCCAUUAUGAAGAUGAAAGACCCCAUGGCAAGAAAAGUAGCACUGGUUCAUUACAGACAAUACUGAAGUCCAUGUUCAUGAAGAUAUCUACAAAUCCUUAAGUUGUUUGCGAGUUUUGUCAGAAAGGACAUCAACAGUGCUACCAUCUACAACAAAAGCUACGCAGUGAAUUUUGUCCCGUAGCUUUGGGACUCUCACGAAUCCAGGGGUAUCCGUUGUGAAGGGAACCAUGGGAUUAAACUACAAAAGUCGUCACACUGUGCUCAAAACUUCCACUACACGCCUUGCUGGUGAUUUUCCCACGGAAAAUAGAGUUAACAGAGUUAAAGAAACUGGAUUUCCCAGCACCAAUUUGACCAAUCAGAAGAAUGUUCGCAGCUGUUGUUUUGGCUUCCGUCACUGUAAUAAAAACCUACACCAAAGUGCAAAAGCAAGAACAUCAGCACAGAGAUAAAACAAAGAAGAAUGAGAUGGCUUGGUCACGUAAUGAGAAUGCCCCAGACCAGGAUUCCCAAAGUAGCUCUACACUGGACACCACCUGGAAAGAGGAAAAGAGGCAGACCACGUACCACCUGAAGGAGAACCAUAACAUCAGAACUUGAGGUAAUGGGCUACUCAUGGGGACAGGCACAGUAUAUUGCCAAGGACAGAGCGAGAUGGAGACAACUUGUUGAAGCCUUAUGUUCCACCGGGGACGAAGAAGAUAACGAGAUAUAUCGCUAGUACAUUUACCAUGAUACGAGCUGCAAUACCAACCAGACCCAACCUGACAGAAAACAGUACCAGAGCAGUCCAGGGGACUUCUUUUUGAGACGGCUUAGCAGCCCUAGAGCAGUCCCGCACCAGUCCCAUGGCAGUCCCACACCAGUCCCAGUAAACAAACCGAAAAAUCAUUGCAGUAGUCCCAGCGGUCCAAGCAAUCCCAAUAGGCGGGGUUAAAAUAACUAGUGGGAGGAGACAAGCCAACAGUGAGAUUAUCAAUAAACAUUGUCGAUAAUCGCUGGAGCCGUCAAUACGGUAGUCAAAAUCGAAAAUAAAUGACUUACAAUGUAAUUAUAGAGAAAAACAAUACAUUAUACAUGAAAACAGCACAUAUUCAAAAUACUUGUGUGACACUUUUUCAUGAAUUUAUAACAAAAUGCUAGUUUAUGUGGCGUCGGUGGCCGAGUGGUUAGGCCGUCAGACUCUCGACCGAAAGGUCGUGAGUUCGAGUCCUGGCCGCGGCAGGGCUGACGUUGUGUCCUUGGGAAAGGCACUUUACAUGAAUUUCCUCACUCCACCCAAGUGUAAAAGGGGUACCUGGCUAUAGACAGUGAAAGAUAUUGUUAGAAUGUUAGUGCUCUAGCCCUUGUAAUGGCAGCUUGUAUUGUAUGCUUCCUAGGAGGCUGAGAAAGUUCUAGAUUAAAAUAAGGUCAAUGUACAUUGAUUAUUGUAAAGGGCUUUGAGCACCAUACGCUGGGUAAGGCGCUAUAUAAAACGAAUUAUUAUUAUUAUUAUUAUUACGAGUGAAAAAAGAUACAUGUAGAGUUUAUAAGUCUGAUAACCACAAUUUCACAACGUAAAAUCAAUUGACGUCCAUGUUCUGUCAGGCAAUUUUGUUGUUGUCAUUCAUUAUUUAUUUUUCUUUAAUAUUAAUACAUGUGAAGUGUAUCUUGGGUUCUGAAAAUUAUGUAGCAUAAUUAUAUUUAUUUCUUGACUGGGUUAUUGAAAUAAAUGUGUUUAAAUUCGCCUAAAUGAUUUAUUCACUUAUUGUCUAUAUCAAACUAGCAAAAACUGCUUUCCAAUUACGUGUACAGGUAUUUUUAAUUUGUAAAUGUAGAUAUGGGCCACUUAUUGUCAGCAUAAUAAAAUUGUUUAAUUUCACUACAACAUUUAGACAGAUUUAAAUAAUUAUGAAGAUUUCAAUCAAAGUGUAUGUGAACAUGUUGUUUUAACAUGAAAUCGAAGGUAUAGUGUUUGUAAAGUGCAUGUUCCCAAAUAGACAUACCUUGUCUGGAUACAAGAUCAUUAUUUUCUCUGUUUAUGGAUUCGGGUAUUUGGGAAUUAUUCAGUACAUUAUCUUUCAUCAAAAUUAUCAGCCACUGAAUGUAGGGAGAUAUUUUUGUUAUUCUAUUUCCAUCCAUUAUCUUCUCAAGUUGUCUAGUGAAAGUGCGUCAGUAAGCGGUGAAAAAAUUACUGAAGUGAUUUGCGUAUAUUUUGAAUAGGCAGUGGUGGGGAUUUCUUGUCAAUCAUAACAUCACGUGAUUCAUUCACGCUUGGCUGAACAGAGCAGCCCCAGAAAGAAGGCCCGGGGACUUCUGGGACUGCUUUCUAGAGCAGUCCCAGGGCAUUCCCAGAGCAGUCCCACUUUUUCAGAGAGCAGUCCCAGAGCAGUCCCCAGGACUGCUUUCUGGGACUGCUUUGGUUUCAGGUUGGGUUUGGUUGGUACUGUUAAACUUAUGCGGUACCAAUUUUGAUGCACCAGAUGCGAAUUUCGACAAGUAAUGUCUCUUCAGUGAUGCUCUACCGAAAUUUUUGAAACCCGAAAAAACAGUAAACUUGGAGGUCUUCAGACCUAUUUUAGGGGAAAACAGAUUGCCAAAAAGUGGAGUCCAAUUCAUCUAAGGAUAAGAGCUAUGCAUGAGGAAGAUCCUUAAGUUGUUUGCGAGUUUUGUCAGAAAGGAUAUCAACAGUGCUGCCAUCUCCAAGAAAAGCCACGCAGUGAAAAUUGUCCCGUAGCUUUGGGUAUCGUAGGAAUCUAGGGGUAUCCGUUGUAAGGGGAACCAUGGGAUUAAACUACAAAAGUAAAUAUAAUUGUUGGGAAUCAAAAUACAACUACUAACUAUGGAUAAAAAUUAAUUGUUCCGACCAUCUGUAAUUAUAUCUAAGUUAUGAUCAUCAAGCUUCAUUUAUUCCAAUAAGGAGUUAAGCAAAAUCGGGAUUUUCUUUGGCAAUCGUCACUGCAGAAGGACACACCACCACAAUAUGCGUUAGAUUAAGUAAAGAUGAAGCAAAAAUGAGCUUAACGAAAAAUGUAAUGAUAAGGAACAGUGGAGAAUCUCAUAAAUCGUAUCAAAAAUACAAAUUGGGAGGAGGGCAAACACAGAAAACAAGUCAACUGAGGAUACUUAUGCCUCCUAGGUAGCUUUUUCAACCUCUAGAGUGUUAAAAGAUUCGUGAUUGUCCUAGUCUUCAUUUUCUGUUUUUAUAGGAUAUUCUUUUAUUGAUCACUGUUUGUGAUCUCCACCUUUCAUCCGAAGCUCCCAUAAAUAUUUUCAAUUAGGAACUUUAAUUUCCUUUUGAAUGUCAAGUUCAGAAUAUUUGUGCAUAAAAUCAGAAUGUUGUCUAGCAAAGUUUAAUUUUGAAUGACUGCUCAAAAGUUUAUUGAAGUAACAGCUGUCUACAAGAUUGAAAAGCCUAGCCAUUAAUUUUCAAUAAGGAAUGGUGGUGGACAGUAUUGCAGAGUCGUGGUCACACUGUGCUCAAAACUUCCACUACACGCCGUGCUGGUGAUUUUCCCACGGAAAAUAGAGUUAACAGAGUUAAAGAAACUGGAUUUCCCAGCACCAAUUUGACCAAUCAGAAGAAUAUUCGCAGCUGUUGUUUUGGCUUCCAUCACUGACUUGCUGAUGGUACCAGUAAAAGUUUUCAGAUCAUGUCCACCACCAAACGUCGGACCACUAUCACUGUCUACAUAUGUCUCUUUGUAAUUUGAAACUUCAUUGGAUUGGACGAUCCGUUAUACUGCAUCCGAAACAGAAAUGCGUAUGGAUCAGUGAUGUAACUGUCAUUAGAGUUCCAGCUCUGUGACAGGUACCCCCCGUAACUCAUUGUUCGUUAUAUUCACCUUUCAUACAGUAAGUUGGGAGAGUUUAUGCAUUUAAAUCGCUAAGCAGUCUAUGAAAUAGCUUGAACUGUUCCAAUUUACUUUAUAUCGUAUGAAUUGAGUAAACUUUGUUUCAUUCCUUAUAGUUUAAUUUCGUAAACCGCCUUUGAUAUCAUUUGAUGAAGGAUUUUAAAGAACAUAUGAAUUCUAUAUGACACAAACCAAUAAUGCCGUACAUGUAGCAAGACAAUGGAAACUGAACAGCCAAAGGUAUUAUGACUCAUUGCUAGGACGUCAUAUUGCGGGACGAAACGGCAACUUUGUUUAUACUAUAAAAAAUAUAAAGAAUGUUGAUAACGCCAAAAUGAACCAAUCUCACCGCGUGUUACAUUUAGAAUUAAGUUAUAUUUAGAUAUAAAUGAUAUGUGCAUAAUUUAGAAAUAAUUAAUGCUAUGAACCAAUUCUUAAUUUCGUUUUAAUUUUCGGAUAAUUUAACCGUUGUACAUUGAAGUAUUAUAUACAUUAUCCACCAAUUUUAAUACAUUCCUCCUAGAGUAAACCCGCGGGGAUCCGGGUAAGAAUAUAUCCUAAAUACCUCUUACUUGUCAUAAGAGGCGACUAAAUGGGGCGGUCCUUCGGAUGAGACCGAAAAAACGAGGUAUCGUGUCACAGCAGGUGUGGCACGUUAUAUAUAUUUCUCACUGUUCAAAGGCUGUAAGCGCCAAGCAUAUGCCUAAAUUUUGCAGCCCUUAACUAGCAAUGGUGACGUCUCAAUAUGAGUGAAAAAUAACUCUCGAAAGGGAGGUUAAACAAUGUAAAAUCAAUGAAUCAAUCAAUCCUCCCCGAAUAGUCUUCAACAAUACCAGCUGACUCGUGCAAUGACAACAUAUGAUAAAAUGCCUGAACAUCGUUGAUCAUGACACUAUUCAUAGAGGAAAUAUCGAGGAAAUUUAUAGUUACAUGUACGUAAUAAAUCAAACCUCGAGCCCUUACAUUUUAGUCCUACAUUCUAUAGCUUACUACAACUGUCAGUCGAGCUAUUGCAGUCCAACAAUGUACAUCUAUGUGGUGUUUUCAGUUCUAGAUACAUAUGACUUCGUUGACCGACGCUUGUCAGGUAGAUAAUAUUCAAUUGUUACUAACUUCAGAAUCACCCCGUCCCCGAAUAGUUCAAGAUCCUUUUAAAUGCACCGCUAUACUAUCCCGGGUGACUUACUAGAAUUGGCCAUUGUCGUCCGUCGUGCGCUAACAAUUGAACAUUUUAACUUCUUCAUCAUUACCAUUUUCAUAGAUUUCAAAGUCGAGAUGAAGCAUAUAUGGGAAAAGAUGGACAUAAAUUCUAAACUGCAAGACUCAUAUAAUCCUAUGGCCUUAGGGGUGGGGCAAAAACUGCCAAAUAUUAGCAAGAUUUAAACUAUCGUCCUCUCUACAACCGAACAUUUGUAAGAAAAACGAAAUGUAUUGCGAUAUAGAACAGGAAGGCCCCUUGAAAAUCGUAAAUUUCCUGAUCCCCGGGGUAGACUUCUUUCUUUACCUUGGCUGAUAUUGUAUAAAGAUUGUGGGCAUAUUGAGAAAAAAGAGAAAUGGGGGGGGGGGGGGAUUCGAAUUUCGUAACGACACUCCCAAGGGAUCUGACUAUAGCCAUAUAAUGCUAAUGAAGGGUUAUGGUAAUGGACAGUGGUUAACUUUCAGAACUCCUAUAAGGAAUGCAACAAAGAAUUAAACAAAUAUGGGCUCUUGGAUACACGAGAGGUGGGAUCAGGUGGCUAAGUAACAAUAUAAUGUACGGUUUGCUCACCGUUGUUUCGCGGAUAAAUUGUGCUGAUCAAAGAUUUAUGCGGAAAUAAUCGUAUGGAGAUGGCAGUUUUGUGAGACAUUAAAACGACUCUUGUAGGGAUAUUGCAAUUUUUCUGCUAGAUGUCCUUACAGUGACGGUAAAAUGGAAGUUUCAUGCCUUCCAGCGGUCACAGUUGAUGCCCUUGUUUCAUUAGAAGUUUUUAAACACUUCUCUUUCCACCCUUGUUAAUUCUACAAAACUAAGAGUUGGGCAAACACGAACCUCUGGAUACACCAGAGAUGGGAACAGGACUCACAUUUUCUAAAGUUCGUAGACGUAAACGUAGGAUUUACGUCUGACUUAAGAUUACAGUUAUGCACUCGUAAAAUGGUAUUCACAAAACCGUUCGUAGCCGCAAACGUAAUUUACGAAUUCUUGAAUGUAUAACUUACACUUACGAGUGCGCAGUGACUAUUUUCACUUCGAAGUGUAAAAAGUGUGAAUUUGCUCAUCUACUUUGAAUCCCCUGCACUACCUCCACAUUAUAACUUAAAAUGACGAAAAGGAACACGGAACCUUGUGAGAAAGCAACGAAUUUCAACAUACACAUAUGUCUGCCUACGGUAUGUCAAUCAAUUGUACUGUUAUUCAGUGUUAUUUACAAAUUCAAAUGGAAGGUUCAUCAAAUUUAACGCAUUUGUUUAUGGAUCUGCGAUGCAGUACUUGUUAAAUUGUUUCAAUAGAAGUGUUAGUUAUUUACAAUUGUAUAUGUGCCCACUAUUUACACAUUAAGACACAACCUCAUUGGUGUACAUGGUAUCCUCACACUUUUGACAACACCAUAAUUGAAAUUCAAAAUUAUUUAUCCUAUAUUUUUUAUUCCAUGAUUAGGACAAGAGCAAAGCAGUGCCAUAACUACCUAUACACAAGUACGCAAAUAAUUUUACAUCAUUUCGCAAAAAGAAAAAAGAAUAUUUGUGAAAAAUUAAUCUAAAAAAAAAUAUAUACAGGCACUUAUUCUAAAAUGUGUUAUUUGUACGUGCUCCUCCAUUAGUUAUAAAAUAUGAAAAUCAUUAUUGUUUCAACAAUAUAUACUCUGGGCGAACAGGUAGAUAGGGUGAAUUGACCCGAUACCAGAUGAGAUCUCUUUCAGCAUCAUUUCAAUUAUCGUUUGUACACAUUCACGUACAAAACUUUUAGAAAACAUUGUGAAUCAAAAUCGUAUUCAAAUACAGUUGUACAACUGUGUAAAGUCAAUGUUAUUUUAUUUAAUUUAGAAUAACUUUGACUAUAUAUGAAUUGGAGAUAUUAGGUGUGAUAUACAUGUAGCAUGCACCAGAUAUCCAAGUUAGCUGACUUCUUUUAUUUUUCAAAAGGUCAUAAAGGUGGUCAGGAAAUAAAUUGCCAACAGACAGCAGCAUUCCUUGAUUUAGAUGCAUUUCUAUUCAUGUCUUCUCCUGAAAGUUUUUCCAUGAUGUGUCAGGGUUAGGAUUGGGAUGCAGGAUGUACAGUGCAUUCAUAGGAUGUCUAUGGGUACAAUGCUGUAAUGGCCUGAAAAAUCUUUUGCGAAACGGAGAAAUGCUCACCUUCCAUUGCCAUGAUUGUGUGAAAAGACGAGCAGGGGAAUUAUUCAAAAACAUAUGGCAGGACUGAGAAUCCAACCCAGGACCCAUAGUCUGGUACUCUACCCAAUGACCAAUCCAUGCUGAUUGUCCAUCUGCUACAUUGAUGUCAUCGUAUAUAUUUAUUUAUUCAUUUAUUUCAUAUGGACAUUUGACAUUAAAAUAAAAAAAUAUCUGAUAUUCAUCAAAACAAAUUUUUUUACAAUAUAUGUUUAAAUUAGAUAAAUGCAUUGUUAUGUAUACAAUUAUGUACAUGAGAUUAUAUUUGUUAAUAGAUAAAGUUUUAGAUGAA